CACAAGCGGCGGAGCAUGCGGAUUAAUUCGAUGCAACGCGAAGAACCUUACCAAGGCUUGACAUAUACGAGAACGCUGCAGAAAUGUAGAACUCUUUGGACACUCGUAAACAGGUGGUGCAUGGUUGUCGUCAGCUCGUGUCGUGAGAUGUUGGGUUAAGUCCCGCAACGAGCGCAACCCUCGUUCUAUGUUGCCAGCACGUAAUGGUGGGAACUCAUGGGAUACUGCCGGGGUCAACUCGGAGGAAGGUGGGGAUGACGUCAAAUCAUCAUGCCCCUUAUGUCUUGGGCUUCACGUAUGCUACAAUGGCCGGUACAAAGGGCUGCAAUACCGUAAGGUGGAGCGAAUCCCAAAAAGCCGGUCCCAGUUCGGAUUGAGGUCUGCAACUCGACCUCAUGAAGUCGGAGUCGCUAGUAAUCGCAGAUCAGCAACGCUGCGGUGAAUACGUUCCCGGGUCUU
rnacentral:rRNA from 1 species